UGUGCACAAGGUUACAUCCCAAGGAUUUGCGGUCAGAAACCCGUGAACCGUGUCUGACGAGUGAUUGCUUGAAUACGGCAUCCCCAUGUAGCACUCCUUUAUUAUUCCUCGAAGUCUGUCUUAGUUUGGAUCAAUCUCUGUAUUCUCAGUUACGUUCGGGCUUACUCUGCCUAAAACACGUCAUUUACACGCUCAUGUUUGCUUGCAUUCAACCUCUAUCCAGUUUUCAAUGAGAAUUCUAAAAAUUUUGCCUUUAUUCAACGCUUGGCAACAAUCCAUAAAAUGCGUCUUUCUCGGAAGUCUUGUAUCAUAUCGCUACGUAGUUCGUUUUCAAAGAGAACAAAACAACACUGACUAGCCUCGAAAAUAAAAAGGGAACUCGCUCUAAAAUGAUCACUGAUACAAACGAAACAAUUCGAUUUUCAAGUUGAUAUAAAAUCAAGCUCUCGACAAGCUCUCUUGUGAUUGUCAUACCACUAGAAAUAAUCUUUCAAUGACAGGCUAUAUUUAUCGUAACAAUACUUUAUUGGCUUACAUGAGCAUGUCCUGUCCUUGUAAAAUGACACGCUAAGAAUUUUUUUGUUCUAACUGUAUGCAUGUGUUCUGGCACAUUCUUUAACUUCGGAUGUCAAUGCUGUAAAAUGUUUGAGCUACUUUGCCUUGAAAAGUCGAAAAGCCUUUUCCAAAAACACACGCUGAAUGGAAAGUUCAAACCUGGGUAGCGGUGAACAAUUGAGAAUUCUAAACAUUUCGGCAAAUGGGGUAAAAUGAAGUUCAUUGUAAGCCAAUACUGUCAACAAACCGUUAUCCUGACUGAUCGACAGUUAGUUAUUAUUGCGCGUGACUCAGUAUCACAACUACUGUCACGCAACCAACUGUAAGGCCAUUGCCACGCUACAAACAAUUUAUUUAUAGCCCCAUUUUUUUGUAUUGUUUUUCUGUUCUAGGACCAAAAGGAGAGCAGGGGCAAAAAGGUCAGCGUGGACGAAGAGGAAGACAAGGUGUUAAAGGCGUUAAGGGCGAACCCGGAAAUACCGGGCCUCCAGGCAGAGAUGGAUUGAAAGGGGACACUGGAGAAACGGGUGACCAAGGGGAGCCUGGAGCCCAAGGUUUGCCUGGCUCCGUGAUGCGCCCGAUCGCAACAGAUUCAGCGCACAUUGUUGGGUAUGGUGAGCAUAUUAACCCGCCAACAGGUACAACAAAAUGUUAGUGUUAUUUUUCUUGAUUUCUUUAUUGUAGAUACAGGAGUUUUUCCGUGAAUUUACGGGGAUUACAUUAUUAAGUGGUUUGAUAAGUCUUCAGUAGCGUCAAUUCCAAUUUUUGGGCAAUUUCUCUUUUAGUUUUUUCAUUGACUCUGCCAGUUAGGAGACUUGUGAAGGUUAGAUGCUUUUUUGGCCUUAUUACCUUUCCUGAAAAGUGAAAUAUCGUUGACAAGAGCACGAGAAAAGUGUUAUUAUCGCUUUUCAAAGGAAAACGCCAAUGGAUUCCUCCCUUGCAGACG